rnacentral:rRNA from 1 species
AUGUACACGCCUACAACAUAGCGUUAAUGCACUGAAUCCCAUUAGAACUCCACAGUUAAGAAUGCUCAGGCUAGAGUAGUGCUGGGAUGGGUGACUGCCCAGGAAGUCCUAGUAUUUUACAUA